AAUAGAUACCCAGGUAGUCCAUGCCGUAAAACGAUGAGUGCUAAGUGUUAGGGGGUUUCCGCCCCUUAGUGCUGCAGCUAACGCAUUAAGCACUCCGCCUGGGGAGUACGGUCGCAAGACUGAAACUCAAAGGAAUUGACGGGGGCCCGCACAAGCGGUGGAGCAUGUGGUUUAAUUCGAAGCAACGCGAAGAACCUUACCAGGUCUUGACAUCCCACUGACCGCUAUGGAGACAUAGUUUUCCCUUCGAGGACAGUGGUGACAAGUGGUGCAUGGUUGUCGUCAGCUCGUGUCGUGAGAUGUUGGGUUAAGUCCCGCAACGAGCGCAACCCUUGAUCUUAGUUGCCAUCAUUUAGUUGGGCACUCUAAGGUGACCGCCGGUGACAAACCGGAGGAAGGUGGGGAUGACGUCAAAUCAUCAUGCCCCUUAUGACCUGGGCUACACACGUGCUACAAUGGACGGUACAAACGGUUGCCAACCCGGCAGGGGGGAGCUAAUCCGGAUAAAACCCGUUCUCAGUUCGGAUUGUAGGCUGCAACUCGCCUAC
rnacentral:rRNA from 1 species